AACUUUGUAAUGAAAUAUUUUUAACAGACGUUUAUAUGACCACCAUAAAACAACAGAGUUAGAAGAUGUUUGCAGCUGAGUCACGUGACAAACACAGCACCCGACCAGGGUAAAAGGGGCGGAGCAAAGUGUGUGUGCAGGAGAGGAGUGGAUAAGAGAGAGCUGCUUUUUCAUGACAUAUACCACUAACAACGUUUGGAUAUUGCUCUCUAUUUCGGAGUUUCUCUCGGUUUGUGGGCUCAUCUAAAGCUGAGUAACAGGAGAAGAGUCUGGUGGAGCAACAGAGGAACAAUUUCAGCCAUUUGGACUCAGCUCAGCCACUACAGAGGAAACAAUGACUUCAACACAAAAGGACCAACAUGGACCAAGAAGUCAGCGCUCUCAGGAGGCGGACAAACGUCACAGAAGAAAGG